UUUCCGUAGGUGAACCAGCGGAAGGAUCAUUACAAGAUCAACGAUGUUCCUGCAACCUUCGGAACUUAACUAUCAGCACGUAGAUGCGACAGUUUUAUCCGCGGCAGGUCUGCAUCCUCUUGUUGCGAAAACCCCUCGUUGCCCAUCGUUCGCGGUCCCUUCCGUUUGGACUUACCAAAACCUUUAUUCAAGCUAACACUUCCAAUAAAGAUUCAAUUAAUUGUUACAUCUUUCAACAAUGGAUCAGUUGGCUAUGGCACCGAUGAAGACCGCAGCAGC
rnacentral:misc_RNA from 1 species